rnacentral:rRNA from 1 species
UACGUAUGUGGCAAGCGUUGUUCGGAAUUACUGGGCGUAAAGCGCGCGUAGGCGGCUCUUCAAGUCAGGCGUGAAAGCCCCGGGCUUAACUCGGGAACUGCGCUUGAUACUGUCGAGCUAGAGUGUGGAAGGGGCGAUUGGAAUUCCGUGUGUAGCGGUGAAAUGCGUAGAUAUCUGGAGGAACACCGGUGGCGAAGGCGGCAUCCUGGACCAAUUCUGACGCUGAGUGAGCGAAAGCCAGGGGAGCAAACGGG